rnacentral:rRNA from 1 species
AACGUAGGACGCAAGCGUUAUCCGGAGUUACUGGGCGUAAAGCGCGGGCAGGCGGCCCGUUCAGUCUGAGGUGAAAGCGCCCGGCUCAACCGGGCGAGGCCCUUGGAAACUGGCGGGCUGGAGGGCAGUAGAGGCAGGCGGAAUUCCGGGUGGAGUGGUGAAAUGCGUAGAGAUCCGGAGGAACACCAGAGGCGAAGGCGGCCUGCUGGGCUGCACCUGACGCUGAGCCGCGAAAGCCAGGGGAGCGAACGGG